AUACGGAGGAUGCAAGCGUUAUCCGGAUUUAUUGGGUUUAAAGGGUGCGUAGGCGGAUGAUUAAGCGUGAGGUGAAAUGCCACUGCUCAACAGUGGAACUGCCUCGCGAACUGGUUGUCUUGAAUGCUCCUGCCGUGGGAGGAAUGUGUGGUGUAGCGGUGAAAUGCAUAGAGAUCACACAGAACACCGAUUGCGAAGGCAUCUCACGAAGGGGUGAUUGACGCUGAGGCACGAAAGCGUGGGGAUCAAACAGGAUUAGAUACCCUGGUAGUCCACGCAGUAAACGAUGAUAACUAACCGCUGGGUCGUAGUGAUUCAGUGGCCAAGCGAAAGCGAUAAGUUAUCCACCUGGGGAGUACGCCGGCAACGGUGAAACUCAAAGGAAUUGACGGGG
rnacentral:rRNA from 1 species